GGGUUAAAUGCGUUUGCAUGGAUUUUCCAGUGAAAAAAAAUAGGCAAAUCUCUGCAAACCAUUUGUAUUAGCGAUUUUGCUGGACGAAUUUAAUAGUCAGCGAGUCAGACAAAAUUUUGGCUGGACAAAUGCGAGUGAUCCCCCUUUACGAUCCUUCAUAAUCAUCUUGCUUCGAGUCUUGCUUCGUCGGAAAGUGAUAAAUAAUAAUGCUAUAGUUCCCUCUUGCUUGCGAAUUUGACAAUCGACCGCGCUAUUUAAUAUUUGCUUUUAGGCCCAUGCAGACCGGACGCGAUUUGGC